rnacentral:misc_RNA from 1 species
GCAAACUUGGUCAUUUAGAGGAAGUAAAAGUCGUAACAAGGUCUCCGUUGGUGAACCAGCGGAGGGAUCAUUACUGAGUUAUCCAAAACUCCCAACCCUUUGUGAACUUACCAUUGUUGCCUCGGCGAGUUGCGUUUUCCCUAGAAGUUACCUUGUAUCUGGUAACUCGGGAACGCGUUUUAAGCUCGCCAGAGGACCAUUCAACUCUGUUUUAUUCUGUAUCUCUGAAUUAUACAACUGAAAUCAGUUAAAACUUUCAACAACGGAUCUCUUGGUUCUGGCAUCGAUGAAGAACGCAGC